AUUGAACGCUGGCGGCAUGCCUUACACAUGCAAGUCGAACGGCAGCACGGGAGCAAUCCUGGUGGCGAGUGGCGAACGGGUGAGUAAUACAUCGGAACGUGCCCAGUCGUGGGGGAUAACGUAGCGAAAGCUACGCUAAUACCGCAUACGAUCUGUGGAUGAAAGCGGGGGACCGUAAGGCCUCGCGCGAUUGGAGCGGCCGAUGUCAGAUUAGGUAGUUGGUGGGGGUAAAGGCCCACCAAGCCGACGAUCUGUAGCUGGUCUGAGAGGACGACCAGCCACACUGGGACUGAGACACGGCCCAGACUCCUACGGGAGGCAGCAGUGGGGAAUUUUGGACAAUGGGCGCAAGCCUGAUCCAGCAAUGCCGCGUGCAGGAUGAAGGCCUCGGUUGUAACUGCUUUGUACGG
rnacentral:rRNA from 1 species